ensembl:lncRNA
CCAGUAUUUAGCUAUUAGCUUGUCUCCAGUCCAAUAAGGGUUGUUUGUUGUUAUGUCUAAAUAGUCUUUGGUUUGAAGAGGCUGAGGAAGGAAAUGGUAGUGGAAACUAUGUUUACCUCUUCUUUUACAUGAUAUUGGAAGUUCUAAUAAAAAUGUUUCUAUGAUGAUGAUGAUUUCUGCCCCCAGUUACCUGAGGAUGAAGAGAACAAUCCACCUACCGUGGAGUACAAUAACCACAUGCGGAGCAAUGCCGUAACGGAAUCAAAUUCCUCUGUGGAACAGUCAGAACUGACGCUAGAGCCUGAUGUCAUCUCCCCCUACACGUUCAACAGAUGAGCCUAUCCUACACUGACAUCUGCUGGACAGAAACCAGUUCUCUCUUCCUCAUCACCGUAGACUGUUCUGUUCAUGGAAUUUAUAGUACAUUUUUACUACUUAAUUUUAUGAAAUCACAUUGUAACCUGUUUGUUAUAAAUAUGGUUCAUUCUAAUCUCUACGUUAUAAAGCAUUUUAUUAAUUCUACCCAUUUGUGCAACCUAGUCACUAAAGUGUUUGAUGAGACUAUUAUUGUAGUCUAGUAGGUCUACUGUGUAGUCUACUACGUUCUUUUAAACCACUCCAAACAAGAAGUUCCCUCACAGGAAAAAUAUAUUCUAUCUAUGAUUUCAUUUUGCAUGUCUGCUGCUUUGUUGAAAACAAUUAAACAUUUUACAUUGAGAAUGUGAAGGCAAUAUACACUAUGUCAAUCAUGAAUGAUCCACAUGUUAAAAUAACUGUCAUAUUUGUUUUAAACUCUGGCUGGAUUCCAGUAAGAAUUACACAUCAUUUUGCAAACAGGCAUAAUGUGACUUGCAAGCCUGGUGUGGCCUGUAAACUAUGCAUUUGAGACCACUGUAUUUGGGUAAAACUAGUAGUGAUGUUCAAUUUCAUACCGGAGCAGUUAACUUCAAAGCAGUGCAACGAUGCCUGUAACAUUUUAAUCAGAAG